rnacentral:piRNA from 1 species
UGAAAAGCUACCUUAGCAUAUUAUUUACAGG